rnacentral:tRNA from 1 species
GGUCCUGUGGUAUAAGGGGCAGUACUCAGGACUCUGAAUCCUGCAAUCUGAGGUCAAAUCUCAGGGGGACCU